rnacentral:rRNA from 2 species
ACCGUGAAACGACUCCACGCCGAUGAUAGUGCGGAUUGCCCGUGUGAAAGUAGGUAAUCGUCAGGC